AUGAACAUGUCCACUCAGCUCCUUAAGUUGCUGCUGUUCUGGCUUACAGGUGGUAAAUGUGACAUCCAGAUGACCCAGUCUCCUGCCUCCCUGUCUGCAUCUCUGGAAGAAAGUGUCACCAUCACAUGCCUGGCAAGUUCAAACAUUGGUAACUGGUUGGCAUGGUAUCAGCAGAAACCAGGGAAAUCUCCUCAGUGCCUGAUCUAUGCUGCAACCAGCUUGGCAAAUGGGGUACCAUCAAGGUUCAGUGGCAGUGGAUCUGGCACAAAGUUUUUUCUUAAGAUCAGUAGCCUACAGGCUGAAGAUGUUGCAAGUUAUUACUGUCUACAAUAUUAUAGUGCUACUCUCACAGUGAUUCAAGCCAUGACAUAA